AGUUUACUAAGUGGAUUAGUGGCGCACGGGUGAGUAAUAUAUAGAUAACGUGCCUCUUAGUCUGGGAUAGCCAUUGGAAACGAUGAUUAAUACUAGAUACUCCUUCUCUUUAUAAUUAGAGUCGGGAAAGUUUUUCGCUAAGAGAUCGGUCUAUAUCCCAUCAGCUUGUUGGUAGUGUAAGAGACUACCAAGGCAAUGACGGGUAGCGGGUUUGAGAGGAUGAUCCGCCACACUGGUACUGAGACACGGACCAGACUCCUACGGGAGGCAGCAGUGAGGAAUAUUGCACAAUGGAGGAAACUCUGAUGCAGCAACGCCGCGUGGAGGAUGACGCAUUUCGGUGUGUAAACUCCUUUUAUCAAGGAAGAAAAUGACGGUACUUGAUGAAUAAGCACCGGCUAACUCCGUGCCAGCAGCCGCGGUAAUACGGAGGGUGCAAGCGUUAUUCGGAAUCACUGGCC
rnacentral:rRNA from 1 species